UCAGAAAAAAUAUGUUUUCUUGCUCUAGGAGAGUCGCCAGCAAAGAAAAAAAAGUGUUUGGAGACAACAAGGUAAACUAGCCUAUAUUUUCCCACACCAGUGACAUUUGGUCACAUUGUUGUUCAUCUGUAACUGAAUUGUUGUGAAUUACUGAUGAGAAAACUAGGCGUCAAUGUGUCACGAUGGAAAUGUGACACUGUGGCUCAUCCACUCCAAGAGGACACCACAUCUUGCGGAGUGUUUGCUUUUAAAGUAGGCCUAGGCUAUGUGACAUGGCAAAAAUUACAUAUCAAUAUGCUAUAUCACGUAUUGGGGGACCUGUGAAUUAUGGGCUCAAUCUCACACUUUCAGUUUGCUGAACACCUCCUGGAAGGGUCAAGCUCAUUACAAUUCCCGACAUCAAACAUAGAUGACCUGAGGAGGGAAAUAGCCACCACCAUCAUGACUGGAUCUGAUGACUUGAGUGACUUGUGUCAUUACUGUGGGGAGGAAGACACCUUUGAUAAAACGGAAAACGUUACUUGGAUUGCGUGUGAUGCCUGUCUGAGGUAGUUUCACACAGGGCGUGUCGGAAAUCCAGCCAUGGAGAGCAAUUAUGCGUGUUAUGCAUGCCUUCAUGCCUGCGUCCAAUAAAUAGGCUACUAGGGCUGGGCAAGUUGGCGCCCAAUUAAGCGUUAACGCAAUCUUGUUUGUUUUUUUACAAAUGGACGCAUUAAAGCACGUUAUUAUUUUUUAAUUCUUUUAGGCCUACUUUGAUUUUGAAAAGGUUUUGCCCACAGAAUGUCAACAUUCU